rnacentral:rRNA from 1 species
UAAGGAAUAUUGGACAAUGGAGGCAACUCUGAUCCAGCCAUGCCGCGUGAAGGAAUAAGGCCCUAUGGGUUGUAAACUUCUUUUAGACGGGACAAAACCCCUUUACGUGUAAAGGGUUGAUGGUACUGUCAGAAUAAGCAUCGGCUAACUUCGUGCCAGCAGCCGCGGUAAUACGAAGGAUGCAAGCGUUAUCCGGAAUUAUUGGGUUUAAAGGGUGCGUAGGCGGACUAAUAAGUCAGUGGUGAAAGCCUGCAGCUUAACUGCAGAAUUGUCAUUGAUACUGUUAGUCUUGAGUACAGUUGAGGUAGGCGGAAUGUGUCAUGUAGCGGUGAGAUGCUUAGAUAUGACACAGAACACCGAUUGCGAAGGCAGCUUGCUAAGCUGUAACUGACGCUGAGGCACGAAAGCGUGGGGAGCAAACA